UGCAACCCCAAACAUUUUGGUU
rnacentral:miRNA from 1 species